AUUGAACGCUGGCGGCAGGCCUAACACAUGCAAGUCGAGCGGAUGAGGGGUGCUUGCACUCUGAUUCAGCGGCGGACGGGUGAGUAAUGCCUAGGAAUCUGCCCGAUAGUGGGGGACAACGUUUCGAAAGGAACGCUAAUACCGCAUACGUCCUACGGGAGAAAGUGGGGGAUCUUCGGACCUCACGCUAUCGGAUGAGCCUAGGUCGGAUUAGCUAGUUGGUGAGGUAAUGGCUCACCAAGGCUACGAUCCGUAACUGGUCUGAGAGGAUGAUCAGUCACAAUGGAACUGAGACACGGUCCAGACUCCUACGGGAGGCAGCAGUGGGGAAUAUUGGACAAUGGGCGAAAGCCUGAUCCAGCCAUGCCGCGUGUGUGAAGAAGGUCUUCGGAUUAUAAAGCACUUUAAGUUGGGAGGAAGGGCUGUAGGCUAAUAUCCUGCAGUUUUGGCGUUACCAACAGAAUAAGCACCGGCUAACUUCGUGCCAGCCGCCGCAGUA
rnacentral:rRNA from 1 species